GACGAACGCUGGCGGCGUGCUUAACACAUGCAAGUCGAGCGGAGCGGCGAACGGGUGAGUAACGCGUGUGUAAAUGCCCCCCUCCCUGGGAUAACAGUUGGAAACGACUGCUAAUACCGGAUAGUGGGGGAUGACUCGCGUCAUAUCAGCUUGUUGGUGGGGUAGUGGCCUACCAAGGCGACGACGGGUAGCCGGCCUGAGAGGGCGACCGGCAACCGGGCGCUGAGGUACGGCCCAAACUCCUACGGGAGGCAGAGGGGGGGAAUAUUGAACGAUGGGGGAAAACCUGAUGCAGCAACGCCGCGUGCGGGAUGACGGCCUUCGGGUUGUAAACCGCUUUCAGCCAGGACGCGGUAGUGGCAGAAGAAGCACCGGCUAACUACGUGCCAGCAGCCGCGGUAAUAC
rnacentral:rRNA from 1 species